AUUGAACGCUGGCGGCAGGCCUAACACAUGCAAGUCGAGCGGCAGCGGGAAAGUAGCUUGCUACUUUUGCCGGCGAGCGGCGGACGGGUGAGUAAUGCCUGGGAAAUCGCCCAGUCGAGGGGGAUAACAGUUGGAAACGACUGAUAAUACCGCAUACGACCUACGGGGGAAAGCAGGGGACCUUCGGGCCUUGCGCGGUUGGUGAUGCCCAGGUGGGAUUAGCUAGUUGGUGAGGUAAUGGCUCACCAAGGCGACGAUCCCUAGCUGGUCUGAGAGGAUGAUCAGCCACACUGGAACUGAGACACGGUCCAGACUCCUACGGGAGGCAGCAGUGGGGAAUAUUGCACAAUGGGGGAAACCCUGAUGCAGCCAUGCCGCGUGUGUGAAGAAGGCCUUCGGGUUGUAAAGCACUUUCAGCGAGGAGGAAAGGUUGAUGCCUAAUACGUAUCAACUGUGACGUUACUCGCAGAAGAAGCACCGGCUAACUCCGUGCCAGCCGCCGCCGUAAGAC
rnacentral:rRNA from 1 species